GAAAAAAUAAUAAACAGAUUGUACGGAUGCUUUGUUAAAGUGAACAUGAUAUUUUGCCCCAUUAUGAAUGACCAAGAAGUCAAAGCGCACAAAGGACAAUAUUAGCUUCAAAUUUACCAAAUUUUCUUAUAAAUUAGAUGUAGAAAUACUUUUUAUAAGUUUUUGGAAUUUCAUCAGUGAUGACAAAGUUAAAACACAGGUACCAUACACAAUACUUUCAUUUAUACAAAUUGUUCAUGAAAAAUGAUUUGAAUUUUGUUAUCAUUUAUUCUGUAGCUACAGCUAAGAUAAAAGUUCUUUUACAACAGACAGCAAAAUUAGAUGCUGAAGGCAAAAUGUAGGACUCUUUUUGGUUCUUUUGUUGUCGAGAUAUUUUUGUAUUUGUUAUACAUGUUUUUAUCUCAGGAAGAAAAGUUAAUUGAAGAUUUACAUUUUAUCUAGUCAUUUUAGAAUGUCUCAUAUUACAAAAGUGUUUUUAUUUUUUUAAUCUUCCGUGUGAUUUUUACAAAUGUUUUGAAUAUUUUUAUCUACCUUUCCUAAAUCAUUCAAUCAGCAUUAAUAUAUACUGUAAAUUCAGAAAUUAUUGGGAUGUUUUUAGUAUCGCAAAAAUGAGACAGGGUUAUAAUCGCAAUAAUUUAAACUUGCAUUUUGAUUUUUUAAACAAGAUUUUUCACAAUAUCGCAAAAAUCAAAAUCGUAUUUUAUUCUAAAUUGACAAAAUCACAAUAAUAAAUGCAUGCAAUAAUUCCUGAAUUUACAGUAUUUCAUAUCAAGAUAUUUGCAGGAUGGACAAACAGAUCUGUAUUAUUACUGAAAAUGUAAAAUAUUAUUAUUGAUCUGUUCUAAAAGUACCUAUGAAUAAAAUUAUAUUUAGCAUAUUUAGUUUUUUAUAACAUUGACAAUUUCAAUCCAUGUUGACCUAAUUACAGUUCCAGGUAUGCUGAGGGUUUAGUGCUCACAAACAUGUUUAACCCCGCCACAUUCUUUAAAUGCCUGUAGGCUGUA
rnacentral:lncRNA from 1 species